AAUAGUAACACCAGCUGACCUUUCAGAUCCAUGAGCUCAUCCUUCAAGUCUUGGUGCAAUGAGACUCUUGUAGAAAACAGAAAUCACUUUUAAACUUCUUGAUAAAUAAGAAAACUACGGAGCCCCCCUGGUGACAUUAAUGGAAAAUAUAUUAAUUCGUGGCCACAAAUUAUUUUUUUGAGACCACGAAUUAUUAUUUUCAGGCUAGGAAUUAUUUUUUUGAGGCCACGAAUUAAUUUUGCGAGGCUGCAAUGUUGUGUCAAGGCCUGUGGCCUUAAGGAAUCUGGACGGCUCAUUUGACGGCAACCAUUCGACACCAGGAAGGAGAGCAGUCCUGGCAGCUCCCUCUAAGAGGAAACUACAGAUUCCUAAAAUGGAAGGGCAGGAUGACCCCUUACUGCAAUUUCUGCAAGACCGUGGAAUUGAACAAGACAUUUUGCACAAACUAAAAAAUGACAAGAUUGACUCAUCAGUAGUCACACUGAUGUCUGAAGAAGAUCUGGCAAAGUAUAUCCCCCAUUACGGAGAUCGCCUAGCAGCUGUAGCCUUCUGCCGCAGUAACCAUCGUGGACAUUACGGAACAUCUACGCAAGAUGGACUCCUAGAACGAAUAAGGGCAAAGUACUGUGCUCCAGAUAACAAGGCUAAGAAGAGACAGGCGACAUGGGAUAAAUUAAGAGGAAAUAAGAAUGCAAAGAAAACCGUGAGAAGAUUAGAAAUAGGGUGGAUUCACUUCUGCAGACAACAAUACUUUCAAACAGGUGCGAGCUAAAAAAAAGGGGGUGGGACCCGCCAUAUUUGUGUGGACAGGCAAGCAAAACUCCGUGACAUCCAAACAACUGCUGAGUCUAUUUUUUUCCCCAAUGGUUUCUGCAAGUCUCUGAAACUGACUGACCAUGUUCGCCACAUGUGACUUUGCACAAAAUGACAUUGACCUAGACAGUACAGUUGAGGAUUUGUAUGAGAAAAACAAAGUCAAGAUACUCAGAUUGUACCUCUGCACCAAGAGAAGUGUUCAGGAAACAAACAGCUUAACUGAUAAUCCUUUGACACCUUCGGAUAUUUCACAGGGUGUCAAUGAAGGUCAAUUAUCAACAUCAGAGGACACAAUUGACUUAACGUUACUGUCAGACUCAGAUGUGACAGACCUCUUGGUGUAUCAAGAGCUAUCACAUGUGGAAAUGGUCUUUCACAACCAAGAUGAAGUAAAAGGAAUAGGCGUGGAAGAAGACAGACCAGACCAAGCAGCAGCUUUGCCUGAAGCUCGUGAUGCAGAAUCGAUGCUGCCCACCUAUAUACGUAGAUGGUGAAGUAAUGGUUCAAGGGCCACUAACAGAUACUGUUGACUUGGAGGAUACUUUGCCCUGGGAGGAUUUAAAGCCAAAGGUCACUAUUGUAGUGCGUCGGGGUACUGUCUUGCUGACCUUAUAGCAGCCUUCGUUGACCCAGAUCUAAUGACCAAAGAUGCCCAAAUAAAAAUGAAGCUUCCCAAUGGACAGCUGGAGGAAGGCGAAGGUGAAGGUGUGCUGCGUGACUGCCUGUCAGAAUUCUGGGGAGAAUUUUACAACAAAUGCACAUUGGGUACAAAUGUAAAGACACCCUACCUCAGACAUGAGUAUCAAGUAGGGGAGUGGUAAGCAAUUGCUAGGGUCCUUGUGACAGGCUGGACAUCUGUCAGGUAUUUCCCAGUGCUUCUCCCGCUUCCAUUCUUAGAAGAAACCCUGUAUGGAACUACUUACACUAGUGUGAUGGAGACCUUUUUACAGUAUGUGUCAAAAGAAGAGAAGGAGAUCCUUGAGCUUGCAUUGAGAUCAUUUGAAUCAGCUGACAAAGAGGACCUAUUGGAUGUGUUGGAUGCACACGAUUGUUACCACCUUGCCACUGAAAACAAUAUUGCAGGACUUUUGUCUCAGUUAGGUCACAAGACCCUAAUCCAGACACCAGUGUUUGUCAUUGAAUGCUGGAAGCCCAUCCUGAAAACCCUGGCAGAUACUUUGUAUCCACAGAAACUUGUUGAGGUAAUAGAAGGGCAUAUCCCAAAUCCAAAGCGUGUUAAGGAUCUGCUGAAAUUCCCUGAACAGAUGACAGCCGCUCAAAACACCGUGGCAAGACAUUUGAGGAGGUACAUCGGUGAGUGUGACAGUUCUGUUUUAAAGGCUUUCCUUCGCUUCUGCACAAGGGCAGAUGUCCUUUGUGGACACAACAUCACAGUUCAGUUCAUCGAGACUACCACAUUCCAGUGUCGACCACAGGCUCAUACAUGUGGCUGUCAUCUGAUGUUACCUGUCAACUAUCUGAACUACCCAGACCUCCGUAACGACUUUGAUCUUAUUCUCAGAAGCUCUGUCUAGGUAAUGGACAUGAUCUAAAUUGUCCAAGCAGCUAAUGGCGGACACCCACACACAUUAUUCCUACAAGUGUUUUAAAUUCCUGUUAUCAUUUUAUUUUGCUUGUGAGUGCUUAUUAGUUAUGCUCUCGCUACCUGCACAACAGUUCAAAUUACUAGCUUCAGUUGCACACCAGUUUCAAUUGCUGAUGUUACCUUUCAACUAUCUAACCUUCCAAGAUCUCCAUAAUGACCUUGAUCUUAUUCUACGAAGCUCAGUCUGGGUAAACUGGGAAAUUAUUUAAAUUCCUAAAACAGCCUAUGGUGGACUUACAUACACACGCACACGUGCACGCACACACCAUUAUUCUUAUGCAUUUUUAAUUCAUGUUAUAAUUUUGUUAUUUUACAGAGUGUUUGUUAGUUAUACAUUUACUAAAUGUUACCUGCAUAAUAGUUCAAUAGCAGAAGCUCAGUUUGAACAAUGAAUAUGAUCUAAAUUCUCCAAGCCCUCUAUGGUGGACACACAUACACACCCACCAUUAUUCUUACAAGUGUUUUAAAUUCCUGUUAUUACGAUUGUUAUUUUACAGAGUGCUUGUUAGUUAUGCAUUCACUAAAUGUUAUCUGCAUAACAGUUCAUAUGACGUAAUUCACUUGCGCACCAGUUUUAAAACAGCAUAUUGUGAUAUGGCAAUUAAAAGGGACCCUCACGACCAGUAGCUUUAUUCUUUCAAAUUAUAAAAGUUAUGUUAAGAAUGAGUUUAUCACAAACUAUACACUGUCAGUUACCAAAGUGUUGUUAGUCAUGAAAUUAUGCAUUAAUUUUUGCAUACCAGAAUCAUUUAUGAUAUGGCCAGAUGGAAAAUUCAACUUGGUAGUGAAAUUGUUGAAUAAAAUUGAACAGUAUUGUGUGAA